GAUGAACGCUAGCUACAGGCUUAACACAUGCAAGUCGCGGGGCAGCAUGGGGGUUGCUUGCAAUCCCCGAUGGCGACCGGCGCACGGGUGAGUAACGCGUAUCCAACCUGCCCUUCACCACGGGAUAACCCGGCGAAAGUCGGACUAAUACCGUAUGUUGUCCAUUGACGGCAUCCGAUUUGGGCGGAAGGUUUUGCGGUGAAGGCUGGGGAUGCGUCCGAUUAGCUGGACGGCGGGGUGACGGCCCACCGUGGCGACGAUCGGUAGGGGUUCUGAGAGGAAGGUCCCCCACACUGGAACUGAGACACGGACCAGACUCCUACGGGAGGCAGCAGUGAGGAAUAUUGGUCAAUGGGCGUAAGCCUGAACCAGCCAAGUAGCGUGCAGGAUGACGGCCCUAUGGGUUGUAAACUGCUUUUAUGCGGGGAUAAAGUGGCCCACGUGUGGGUUUUUGCAGGUACCGCAUGAAUAAGGACCGGCUAAUUCCGUG
rnacentral:rRNA from 1 species